GACGAACGCUGGCGGCGUGCUUAACACAUGCAAGUCGAACGGAAAGGCCCUGCUUUUGUGGGGUGCUCGAGUGGCGAACGGGUGAGUAACACGUGAGUAACCUGCCCUUGACUUUGGGAUAACUUCAGGAAGCUGGGGCUAAUACCGGAUAGGAGCUCCUGCUGCAUGUUGGGGGUUGGGAAGUUUCGGCGGUUGGGGAUGGACUCGCGGCUUAUCAGCUUGUUGGUGGGGUAGUGGCUUACCAAGGCUUUGACGGGUAGCCGGCCUGAGAGGGUGACCGGCCACAUUGGGACUGAGAUACGGCCCAGACUCCUACGGGAGGCAGCAGUGGGGAAUAUUGCACAAUGGGCGGAAGCCUGAUGCAGAAACGCCGCGUGCGGGAUGACGGCCUUCGGGUUGUAAACCGCUUUCGCCUGUGACGAAGCGUGAGUGACGGUAAUGGGUAAAGAAGCACCGGCUAACUACGUG
rnacentral:rRNA from 1 species